AGUGGCGAACGGGUGAGUAACGCGUGGAUGAUCUACCUACGAGAUGGGGAUAACUAUUAGAAAUAGUAGCUAAUACCGAAUAAAGUCAAUUAAUUUGUUAAUUGAUGAAAGGAAGCCCUUAAAGCUUCGCUUGUAGAUGAGUCUGCGUCUUAUUAGCUAGUUGGUAGGGUAAAUGCCUACCAAGGCGAUGAUAAGUAACCGGCCUGAGAGGGUGAACGGUCACACUGGAACUGAGAUACGGUCCAGACUCCUACGGGAGGCAGCAGCUAAGAAUCUUCCGCAAUGGGCGAAAGCCUGACGGAGCGACACUGCGUGAAUGAAGAAGGUCGAAAGAUUGUAAAAUUCUUUUAUAAAUGAGGAAUAAGCUUUGUAGGAAAUGACUAAGUGAUGACGUUAAUUUAUGAAUAAGCCCCGGCUAAUUACGUGCCAGCAGCCGCGGUAAUACGUAAGGGGCGAGCGUUGUUCGGGAUUAUUGGGCGUAAAGGGUGAGUAGGCGGAUAUAYAAGUCUAUGCAUAAAAUACCACAGCUCAACUGUGGAACUAUGUUGGAAACUAUAUGUCUAGAGUCUGAUA
rnacentral:rRNA from 1 species